UUUUAUAAUUCUCAUUCAGUUUAAUAUGAGAGGGCCGUGGCAGCUUUUACUUUUGUUUGCUAUUUUAAACAUCAGACUAGCAUUUUGUAUUAUUCUGUCGCUGUAUCUAACAAUGGCUGCAAUUGGCAAUUAUGUGAUGCGUUUGCUGCAGCGCGCCAAGUGCGGCGUCUCGCAUAUGCUCGACGUUGAAACAAAGCGCAGCUCAGGGGAAUCCAAAGAGACGGCGCCAAGAGAGUUCAGGACAUUGAUGAAGCAGCCUGCAGUUGAGCUGGCAACGGAUGAAGAUGAAGAUUGCAGCGAAUUUGAUGCGUCCAGCAGUGAUGAUGAUGAUCUUAUUUACUACAAGUACAACAACAGGAGCAACAAGUCCAUGCGUAUGGCAUAAAAUCAGCUGCAGCGCUCGCACAUAUCGAUAACGAUAACUUUAAGCAACUCUAAGCAAGCAACAAGCAUUGGCAACUCUUUGCUGUAAAAAGCUUGCGCAUAAAUUAAUUAAUAAUUAUAACAAGCAAGCAGCGUGCCAACUCUUAUACCAGCAAUGCUUGAAAUCGGAUCAAAAUACAGCAGCAGUGCACAAAAAAAAUAUAUUAGCCAUAUAUAUUCGUAUACAGCAUACAAUGCUUUAAUUCACAGCAAAGUCGAGCCCAAAUGUUGCUGAAAAUUUACAAACAAAUUCUGCUAGGCCACAUUAUACUUGGGAAAUUGUUUAAAACGCAUAGUGUUUAAUAUAAAAAUUAUUAACAGCUUGCAGCAGAAUGUUAC